CGUCCUGACGGGUCGUGCGGAAGUCCGCCGGGUCGAGCCCGGCGUGCCGGAUCGCCUCGAGGACGUCGGCCGUUCGGGUCGGAUCGAGUUGC
rnacentral:tRNA from 1 species